UCUGACCAUUUUAAACACCACGCUGUCUGAUGAAGCCGUGUACUACUGUGCACUGACGAGACCCGACCCUGUGUUUGGAGAAGGAACUGAUUUAAAAUUUAAAGGUCAGAGUUUUACCACUGAAUCAGAAACAUCGAAACCAGCUCUGUGUGAUCACAACACGAACAUGAACACACAAGAGAAAACAGGUCAGAUGUCUCAUAAUUUUAUAAUUCACAAUAAACUGCGUUCAUGGUUCAUAACGUUCUCAGAAGUGACCAGAUCUCUCCACUCCUCAGUGCUCGGUUUGGGAACGGCUUUGGGUUUGUGUGCACUUCUGAUUUUCUGUCUCAUUUAUUUCAUACUGAGGAGAAGAAAAUGGGAUAAAAUGAAGGCUUCAACAGAAGGUUCAGCAGGAACGAGGGAGG